rnacentral:rRNA from 1 species
GCAGCAGUGGGGAUAUUGCACAAUGGGGGAAACCCUGAUGCAGCCAUGCCGCGUGUGUGAAGAAGGCCUUCGGGUUGUAAAGCACUUUCAGUAGGGAGGAAAGGGUGUAGUUUAAUACGCUAUAUCUGUGACGUUACCUACAGAAGAAGGACCGGCUAACUCCGUGCCAGCAGCCGCGGUAAUACGGAGGGUCCGAGCGUUAAUCGGAAUUACUGGGCGUAAAGCGUGCGCAGGCGGUUUGUUAAGCGAGAUGUGAAAGCCCUGGGCUCAACCUAGGAAUAGCAUUUCGAACUGGCGAACUAGAGUCUUGUAGAGGGGGGUAGAAUUCCAGGUGUAGCGGUGAAAUGCGUAGAGAUCUGGAGGAAUACCGGUGGCGAAGGCGGCCCCCUGGACAAAGACUGACGCUCAUGCACGAAAGCGUGGGGAGCAAACAGGAUUAGAUACCCUGGUAGUCCACGCCGUAAACGAUGUCUACUCGGAGUUUGGUGUCUUGAACACUGGGCUCUCAAGCUAACGCAUUAAGUAGACCGCCUGGGGAGUACGGCCGCAAGGUUAAAACUCAAAUGAAUUGACGGGGCCCG